rnacentral:rRNA from 1 species
UGCCAGCCGCCGCGGUAAUACGGAGGGAUCGAACGUUAAUCGGAAUUACUGGGCGUAAAGCGCGCGUAGGCGGUUUAUUAAGUGGAAUGUGAAAGCCCCGGGCUCAACCUGGGAAUUGCAUUCCAUACUGGUGAACUAGAGUGUGAUAGAGGGAGGUAGAAUUUCCUGUGUAGCGGUGAAAUGCGUAGAUAUAGGAAGGAAUACCAGUGGCGAAGGCGGCCUCCUGGAUCAACACUGACGCUGAGGUGCGAAAGCGUGGGGAGCAAACAGGAUUAGAUA